rnacentral:rRNA from 1 species
GUAGGUGGCAAGCGUUGUCCGGAAUUAUUGGGCGUAAAGCGCGCGCAGGCGGUUCGUUUAAGUCUGAUGUGAAAGCCCACGGGCUCAACCGUGGAGGGUCAUUGGAAACUGGAGAACUUGGGUACAGAAGAGGAAAGCGGAAUUCCACGUGUAGCGGUGAAAUGCGUAGAGAUGUGGAGGAACACCAGUGGCGAAGGCGGCUUUCUGGUCUGUAACUGACGCUGAGGCGCGAAAGCGUGGGGAGCAAACAGGAUUAGAUACCCUGGUAGUCCACGCCGUAAACGAUGAGUGCUAAGUGUUAGGGGGUUUCCGCCCCUUAGUGCUGCAGCUAACGCAUUAAGCACUCCGCCUGGGGAGUACGGCCGCAAAGGCUG